AUAGUAGGUCGGUUUGUCGCUUUUCCCUCGGGAAUGGAGGAAAGUCCGGGCAACGCAGAGCACCAUAUUUCCUAACGGGAAGCUGUUUGUGAGGGCAGAGUAGCGUAACAGAAAAUAACCACCAUAAUUGACCUUUUCCAUUUUCCCUCUCCAUUGGAGAGGGUGCCCUAUGGGCGGGAGAGGUGUAUGGAAAGGGUGAAAAGGUGAGGUAAGAGCUCACCGGUUCGGAUGGUAACAUUCGAAGCCGUACGUCUUAUGGGUUGCAAGAUCAUGUAUACCGACGCAGUAGGGUUGCUCGCCCGAUGUCGGGGGGUAGAUUGCUAAAGGCAAAUGGCGACAUUUGUUCGAGAUAAAUGACAGACACUUUGCGCAAGCAGAGUACAAAACCCGGCUUAUAGACCUACUAUUUUU
rnacentral:RNase_P_RNA from 1 species